UACAUUUUAGUAUAUGAUGUAUAUAGGCUUUUGAUGCCUGAGGAGAUAGUUUAAUUCUAUUAAAUGUAG
rnacentral:tRNA from 1 species